rnacentral:rRNA from 1 species
UGGGGAAUAUUGCGCAAUGGGGGAAACCCUGACGCAGCAACGCCGCGUGAAGGAAGAAGGUUUUCGGAUCGUAAACUUUUGUCUUGUGGGACGAAAUAGACGGUACCACAGGAGGAAGCCACGGCUAACUACGUGCCAGCAGCCGCGGUAAUACGUAGGUGGCAAGCGUUGUCCGGAUUUACUGGGUGUAAAGGGCGUGUAGACGGAUGUGCAAGUCAGAUGUGAAAUACCGGGGCUUAACCCCGGGGCUGCAUUUGAAACUGUACACCUUGAGUGCGGGAGAGGUAAGCGGAAUUCCUAGUGUAGCGGUGAAAUGCGUAGAUAUUAGGAGGAACACCAGUGGCGAAGGCGGCUUACUGGACCGUAACUGACGUUGAGGCGCGAAAGCGUGGGGAGCAAACAGG